UACGGAGGGUGCAAGCGUUAAUCGGAAUUACUGGGCGUAAAGCGCGCGUAGGCGGUUUGUUAAGCUAGCUGUGAAAGCCCCGGGCUCAACCUGGGAAUUGCAGUUGGAACUGGCAGGCUAGAGUACAGAAGAGGAGUGUGGAAUUUCCGGUGUAGCGGUGAAAUGCGUAGAGAUCGGAAGGAACACCAGUGGCGAAGGCGACACUCUGGGCUGAUACUGACGCUGAGGUGCGAAAGCGUGGGGAGCAAACAGG
rnacentral:misc_RNA from 1 species